GAAAUUCACUUUUAUGAGACUGUGCUGUAUUUGCAAUUUAACAGGAUCAAAACUCCUUCCUUCCCCCCACUUGUUAAUUAUUUUGUCAUCGCCUCGGAUUUUUUUCUUAUAAAUUUCCUGACAAGAUGUCACAAACAGAAUGCUGUAUUAGGGCACUAGAGAAACAAGAACUACCUUUGCGAAAGCAGGAUUGAGUUUAAAAACGUCAUAUCCUUGCAUCACUACUAGCUCCAGUUCAUGUCUCAGAUCUAGGAAUGGAAACACAUGAAUGCCAGUAUCUGGGCAAGGGAUGGUGGAAUAAGGGGGACCGAGUGCAGGACUGUAGCAGCCCAGAAUUACAUUAUUUCAAACUGAAGGAAAUUGGAUCUUCACCAUCUGGAACAAACUCUGAUCCUACAAAGGUAUGUCAAUGCAAAGUGGCAUUGCAGAGAUGUCCCAACUUAGUCAUUCAAGAGAAGAGCUGUGGGACAUCUGGGAGCAGUAACUUCUUCAACUAUUCCUAAUAAAUCUACAGCCAAAUAUGAGCCAGCUGUGGCUUCCCAAGAGGCUAAGCACUUGCAGCUUGAGCUUGCUGAAGAUCUCUGUUCAAAAAAACCCCAAGACUUAAAGCACAAGGACAACUGUAGAAACAUGAAAAAAUUGCUAAGACUUGCUGAGUAAUUAAAAACUAAAUCAAAUAUUUACGAGGGUAAAAAAACCUUCUGAAACUGAUUUUGGAUUUUUUACAAGAGUUUCUGCAGGCACACUUGUUACUUCCAAGCCACAGCUAUUAUUUGGUUUAUGAGAACCUAGUGAGUAGGAUAUUCAUAAUGUAUCAGCUACAUAAUUUCAAGUAAAUAUCAAAUCUAUAUUAAAAAUCUUAGGAUGUGAGCAGAGGUCAGUGCUUUAAGAAACUACAAAGGCAACCCAUACAAGGAGGGAAAGCAUCUUCAAUGAACUAAUGUAGUUGCAAAAAUGUAAGCAUGAUUCUGGGCAUGUAAGAAGAGAUAAUACAGCUUUGGUGCACAAAAAAAAAACCCAAAAAAACUUAUGGCAAAUGUAGACUCUUUGCUUUGUCUUUGGCAUGAAAUAUUGACAUAAUAAAUACAUAAAGAUACAUGUAUUUCUGAAAGAUCCAAGGAGGCAAAGAAAAGAAAAAAAAAAAAAGCUGGUUUCAUAUGGAUGACUUGAUUUUUAACAGGCAUAUGACAAUUAUUCAAUGAAAAUGUAUUCUUUGAACACUGAAUGAGGGAAAAAUCCAAAUAUAUUUAGCAUGAAAGUGAAAAAUACAGAAACCUCUUGCAACAAUCCCAGUGUAGUUGAGUGCAGCUUUUACGGCUCAGGCCAACUCAGGACAGGUUCUUGAGAAAUUUCAGCAUCCUUGCAUUCUGAAAUGCUCUCCCCUCUCUGUAUGAAAGGCUUUACACUCCUGCACUGCAAUACUGACUCUUCCUGCAUUUGAUAAUCCUAAGCUUUUCCCUUCCCCAGCCUGUUCUCCCAGCCCCCAAAGGAGAAUCCCACAUAAUCUGUUUUACAGGUCAGUGGGCCAAGAGCACACCAGAAGCUUUGCUCAUUUUGUAUUCUGUAUUCACAUGCUGAGCAAGGCAGUCCUGUCAUACCCAUCUAUCCUGAUGCUUUUUUUCCUGUUUUAUAGGAAAAACUCACUCACUUUACAAAUGAAACAUAUUAA